rnacentral:lncRNA from 1 species
AAGGAGUUAAAUGUUCUAACAACAUGCAGCAGCAUGGGCAUGCCAUGGACAGGAAGUUAGUGACAUGAUGGAUGAUAUACUUGAGGACUUUUGUGCGUUAUUAGCACAUAAUACUUAUACAUGUUGGAACUUGUUGCCACUAAGAUUGAAAUAGUUUUUCCCAAUGCACACUCAUAGGACCCAUUAAAGCCAAAAAAAAGUAACGCAAAGCAUGGAAAUCAUAUAUACUUGGAAAUCAUAAGUUUUUCUCCUUCCUUUCCACGUUGAAUGUCAUUGCUAACUGAUUUGAAAUGAUCAUAUAAAUGAACUUUGCAAAAGAACACAAAAUCCAAUCACCCUGUUACCAUGUUGUUGACUUCCAUCAAGUCACUUUCCAUGUGUACUCUAGAACAUCACUUAGCCUGCUAUGUAACAGGAGUAUGUUCCAUCAGCUAAGCAUGCAGCACUGAGUGAAACCAUUGUUCUCAUCAUCUGGUCUAUAAUGUUUAUUUUUGUUUCUUCUUUCUCUGUACAUGAACCAUAAAGAAAAUAAGCUCAUGAAGGAAAGGCUAACUCAUCCUUUUCAAUAUUAUAUGGGAGUAUAGAAUUUGUAAUACCUUGUGUCCGUGUCAAUCCAUGUCUCAUAUUUCCAUUCGGUGCCUCGGUGGUAGCCAGCAUGUAAUCCCUAGUCCGUAGCGCCUCUUCUCUGUCCUCGGAUGGCGUUCACAUAUUUUCUGUAGUAGCAUUAUCAACAGGUAACCAUAUUGUGAUGCAACUGUACCCAGCGUAUAUAGUGAUGCAACUGUACCCAGCGAAAAUCUGCAUGAGCGUACAAAAUAGAUACUAAAGGUUCGUCAAAAUAGUUCAAGGAUCUGGCUAACAAUUUGAAAAAAUUGGAGUUUUGACACUGAAAACAUAAAAUAGUAGUGGUAGCUUCACUACUAAACACGAAACAGAGACUGGGCAGUACCACCCAUGGCUCUUUCCAUUUUUAAGACUGAGCUCAGCAACCUCUUUGUCAGGUAUUAUAAUAUCACGGACUAAUAAGUUUACCAAUUUCUAAGAGCUUUCUCGCAGUUUGUACCCUGUUUGUAAAGAAGUCCCAUGUUUCACCUUUUCAAUUCUCAUGCAGAAGGAAUGCGUAAGAAAGAUACAAAGAUAAAUCAUACUCCUAUAUAGUAAUUCUGGCCAAAACAUUAUAUAAAAAGAUUCUAUUAGAUUAGGCGAGGCUCAACAACCUGAAAGAGAUGUGUAUAGGGCAGUGAGCCUCUGUAGUUUAUAAACAACAGUGGCGGUCAGUGAGAUUCUUGAAGUACUCUACACAGCCAAGCUAUCAUUUUAGCUGUGACCAUCUAGAAUUACUAUGAACAGCAUGUAGUUUUGCUUCUAACCCGGUCUGAAAUAUUCAAGCAACAUAAACACGUGACGAUUUUGGUUCAUAUUACAAACAAUGGAAAGCAAGAAAUAUGAAUCAAGUAGUAUUUGGGACAAAAUAAAAAUAUAAUAAUAAAGAAAAUAUGUGUUGGGGAAAAAAUAGAGUUUCCACACUUAAAACAACAAAUAGUGGUAGCUUCACUACUGAAAACAAAAUAGAGACUGGGCAGUACCACCCUAACUCUUUCUAUUUUUAAGACUGAGCUCAGCAACCUCUUUGUCAGGUAUUAAGUUAUCACGGGCUAAUAAGUUUAACAAUUUCUAAGAGCUUUCUUACCGUUUGUACCCUACUUGUAAAGAAGUAGCAUGUCACCAUUCCGAUUUAUGUCAGUAUUUGACCUCCUGAAUUCUCAUGCAGAAGGAAUGUGUACGAAAGAGGCAAAGAUAAAUCAUACUCCUAUAUAGUAAUUUUGGCCAAAACAUAAUUCAAAAAGAUUCUAUUAGAUUAGGCGAGGUUCAACAACCUGAAAAGAGUUUUUUUUGCGGGAACAACCUGAAGGAGUUGUGUAUAGGACACUGAGCCUCUGUAAUCAUACUCCUAUAUAGUAAUUCUGGCCAAAACAUUAUAUAAAAAGAUUCUAUUAGAUUAGGCGAGGCUGAACAACCUGAAAGAGUUGUGUAUAGGGCAGUGAGCCUCUGUAGUUUAUAAACAACAGUGGCGGUCAGAGAGAUUCUUGAAGUAGUCUACAUAGCCAAGCUAUCAUUUUAGCUGUGACCAUCUAGAAUUGCUAUGAACGGCAUGUAGUUGCUUCUUACCCAGUCUGAAAUAUUCAAGCAACAUAAACACGUGAUGAUUUUGGUUCAUAUUACAAACAAUGGAAAGCAAGAAAUAUGAAUCAAGUAGUAUUUAGGACAAAAUAAAAUUAUAAUAAUAAAGAAAAUAUGUGUUGGGGAAAAAAUUAGAGUUUCCACACUGAAAACAAAAAAAUAGUGGUAGUCCACUACUGAAAACAAAAUAGAGACUGGGCAGUACCACCCAUAGCUCUUUCUAUUUUUAAGACUGAGCUCAGCAACCUCUUUGUCAGGUAUUAAGUUAUCACAGACUAAUAAGUUUAACACUUUGUAAGAGCUUUCUUACCAUUUGUACCCUGUUUGUAAAGAAGUAGCAUCUCACCAUUCAGAUUUAUGUCAAUAUUUGACCUCCUCAAUUCUCAUGCAGAAGGAAUGUGUAUGAAAGAGGCAAAGAUAAACCAUACUCCUAUAUAGUAAUUUUGGCCAAAACAUAAUUCAAAAAGAUUCUAUUAGAUUAGGCGAGGUUGAACAACCUGAAAAGAGUUUUUUUUGCGGGAACAACCUGAAAGAGUUGUGUAUAGGCCACUGAGUCUCUAUUGUUUAUAAACAACAUUGGGCGGUCAGAAAUUCUUGAAGUAGUCUACACAGUCAAGCUAUCAUUUUAGCUGCAACCAUCCAAAAGUACUGUGAACCACACUUGAUUUUACUUUUAUCUCGGUCUGAAAUAUUCAAGCAACAUAAACACGUCAGGUGUUUGCUUCAUAUUACAAACAGUGGAAAGCAAGAAACAUGAAUCAAGUACUAAAACUACGACACUUAUGUUGGAUCGGAGGGAGCAGUAUUUAGCACAAACAAAAAAUAUGAUAAUAAAUAAAAUAUGUUCUAGGGAAUUUGGAGUUUUCAAACUAAAAACAAAAAAUAGUGGUAGCUUCACUACUGAAAAAUAGAUACUGAGUAGUGCCACCCAUGGCUGAGCUCAGCAACCUCUUUGUCAGGUAUUACGAUAUCACUAACUAAUAAGUUUAAAAUUUUCUAUGAGCUUUCUUACAGUUUGUACCUUGUUUAUAAAGAAGUACCAUGUACCGUCGGAUAAGUGUAUCACCAUUCCGACUCAGUACAACCAAUUAAUAUGGAUCUGAGGGAGUGGAAUUUAGGACAAACGAAAAAUAUAAUAAUAAAGAAAAUACAAAUUAAUUGCUAGUUCAUAGCCCUGGGAACCUCCCCUUGCCAAGCCCUCCGACUCCACGGUAUCCUUCAAGCCCAUGCCAUGUCUUUUGAAACACUGAUCCAAUUAUAGUUUGUCACGCCGAGGAAAACCAUGGACUGGUUUGAAGAUAGAGGAGUCUUACUGAAAUUGCUUAAAUUAGUGAAGAUAAUAUGCACAUUGCAUUACGAAAAGAGAUGGGGAAUAUCAAUAACACUGCUUUAUUUUUUACCAGCAUAGAGAAACCACGGAUUUCAACUUUGAUUUGCAGAAAAUAAUAAUGCAAUUUUGUUGCAACGGAAAGAUAAACCCAAAGAGAUAGAAACCUAUCAAGAGGCAAAUCAAUUCCUUACCUGUAGAAGUUAGGACUCAUGUCAAACUUUCAACGCCAGAAGCAACUUAAGUGACCAUAUUGGAAUUGGCAG